rnacentral:lncRNA from 1 species
ACGGCCGAAGAAAAUCUCUUUCCCACAUCACAUGGCCAAAAGAGUCAUCACUACCAAACCAUCCUCUUCCCGCAUCACACGGCCGAAGAGAAUCUCUUUCCCACAUCACAUGGCCAAAAGAGUCAUCACUACCAAACCAUCCUCUUCCCGCAUCACACGACCGAAGAGAAUCUCUUUCCCACAUCAUAUGGCCAAAAGAGUCAUCACUACUAAACCAUCCUCUUCCCCGC